UACGUAGGGGGCUAGCGUUGUCCGGAAUCAUUGGGUGUAAAGCGCGUGUAGGCGGUCCGGUAAGUCCGCUGUGAAAGUCGAGGGCUCAACCCUCGAAUGCCGGUGGAUACUGUCGGGCUAGAGUACGGAAGAGGCGAGUGGAAUUCCUGGUGUAGCGGUGAAAUGCGCAGAUAUCAGGAGGAACACCAAUUGCGAAGGCAGCUCGCUGGGACGUUACUGACGCUGAGACGCGAAAGCGUGGGGAGCAAACAGG
rnacentral:rRNA from 1 species